rnacentral:rRNA from 1 species
AUUGAACGCUGGCGGCAUGCUUUACACAUGCAAGUCGAACGGUAACGCGGGGGCAACCCUGGCGACGAGUGGCGAACGGGUGAGUAAUACAUCGGAACAUGUCCUGGAGUGGGGGAUAGCUCGGCGAAAGCCGGAUUAAUACCGCAUACGCUCUGAGGAGGAAAGCGGGGGACCUUCGGGCCUCGCGCUGCAGGAGUGGCCGAUGUCGGAUUAGCUAGUUGGUGGGGUAAAGGCCCACCAAGGCGACGAUCCGUAGCUGGUCUGAGAGGAUGAUCAGCCACACUGGGACUGAGACACGGCCCAGACUCCUACGGGAGGCAGCAGUGGGGAAUUUUGGACAAUGGGGCAACCCUGAUCCAGCCAUGCCGCGUGAGUGAAGAAGGCC